AUCCAAAGUGUUGAGUUCAGCUCUGGGCUCUCUCCCCAGUUCUGGUAAUUAGCCUUUGGUAUAGAAACUGGCCUGCAGUGGUUCAACAUGGGUGGCCACGUCAGCCACUUAAGGCCACUCAGUCCAACAGUC